AGCGGUAAGGCCCUUUCGGGGGUACACGAGCGGCGAACGGGUGAGUAACACGUGGGUAACCUGCCUCCAGCUCUGGGAUAAGCCUGGGGAACUGGGUCUAAUACCGGAUAUUCACUGGUCUCCGCAUGGGGGUUGGUGGAAAGUUUUUUCGGCUGGAGAUGGGCCCGCGGCCUAUCAGCUUGUUGGUGGGGUAAUGGCCUACCAAGGCGACGACGGGUAGCCGGCCUGAGAGGGUGACCGGCCACACUGGGACUGAGAUACGGCCCAGACUCCUACGGGAGGCAGCAGUGGGGAAUAUUGCGCAAUGGGCGAAAGCCUGACGCAGCGACGCCGCGUGGGGGAUGAAGGCCUUCGGGUUGUAAACCUCUUUCGCCAUCGACGAAGCCCUUCGGGGUGACGG
rnacentral:rRNA from 1 species